rnacentral:rRNA from 1 species
UUAAACUGAAGAGUUUGAUCAUGGCUCAGAUUGAACGCUGGCGGCAGGCUUAACACAUGCAAGUCGAGCGGGGGAAG